AAAGUCGUAACAAGGUUUCCGUAGGUGAACCUGCGGAAGGAUCAUUAAAAAUUUUUUACCAUCAUAUGGAAAAAUAAAAAUCCAUAUUCACCUUGUGUGCAUCUAUUGAAUGUUUGCUUUUGGGAAGUGCACAGUCCUUUUUUUUAAAAUAUCUAGGAGAGGGGAGAUCGCUUUGGCGGUAUACUUUUUCAUGAUUAUUUAAAUUUAGCGGAUCCGAAAGGAAAAUAUCCGGCCUCCCAAAAGUUUUCUUUUGAAAACUCCAUUCUUUCUAAAUAUUUUGUCUAAAAAAUAAAUAUCUCUUUUGAUAUUAAAUUUAAAUUAUAAAACAACUUUCAACAACGGAUCUCUUGGUUCUC
rnacentral:misc_RNA from 1 species